CCGGCAACGGCCCGUAGGGUGAGGAGCGAAGCGACGAAUAAUCCUUCCCCCACCACCA
rnacentral:sRNA from 1 species